rnacentral:rRNA from 1 species
AACGAACGCUGGCGGCGUGCCUAACACAUGCAAGUCGCGCGAGAAAGUCCCCGCAAGGGGGCGAGUACAGCGGCGAACGGGGGAGUAACACGUGGGCAACCUGCCCGGCCGUCGGGAAUAACCCCGCGAAAGCGGGGCUAAUACCGGAUGACGUCCCCGGGGGGCAUCCCCGGGGGACCAAAGGGGGCGCGCGCAAGCAGCUCCCGCGGUCGGAGGGGCCUGCGGCGGAUUAGCUGGUUGGCGGGGUAACGGCCCACCAAGGCGACGAUCCGUAGCCGACCUGAGAGGGUGACCGGCCACACUGGGACUGAGACACGGCCCAGACUCCUACGGGAGGCAGCAGUGGGGAAUAUUGCGCAAUGGGCGCAAGCCUGACGCAGCGACGCCGCGUGGGUGACGAAGGCCUUCGGGUCGUAAAACCCUGUCGGGUGGAACGAACGCCCGCGCCGCGAACACCGGCGCGGGGUGACGGUACCACCGAAGGAAGCCCCGGCUAACUACGUGCCAGCAGCCGCGGUAAUACGUAGGGGGCGAGCGUUGUUCGGAUUUACUGGGCGUAAAGAGCGCGUAGGCGGUUCGGUCCGUCGGCCGUGAAAGCCCUCGGCUCAACCGAGGAGCCGCGGCCGAGACCACCGAACUUGAGGGCAGGAGAGGAGAGCGGAAUUCCCAGUGUAGCGGUGAAAUGCGUAGAGACUGGGAGGAACACCGGUGGCGAAGGCGGCUCUCUGGACUGCUCCUGACGCUGAGGCGCGAAAGCUAGGGGAGCAAACGGGAUUAGAUACCCCGGUAGUCCUAGCCGUAAACGAUGGGCACUAGGUGUGGGAGGUAUCGACCCCUUCCGUGCCGCAGCUAACGCAGUAAGUGCCCCGCCUGGGGAGUACGGCCGCAAGGUUG